rnacentral:rRNA from 1 species
CGAUGGUUGUCGUCAGCUCGUGUCGUGAGAUGUUGGGUUAAGUCCCGCAACGAGCGCAACCCCUACGUUUAGUUGCUAACGCGUGAAGGCGAGCACUCUAGACGAACUGCCGUUGACAAAACGGAGGAAGGUGGGAUGACGUCAAAUCAUCAUGCCCCUUAUGUUCUGGGCUACACACGUGCUACAAUGGCCGGUACAGACGGACGCAAAGCCGCGAGGUGGAGCAAAUCCUAAAAAGCCGGUCUCAGUUCGGAUUGCAGGCUGCAAUUCGCCUGCAUGAAGUCGGAAUCGCUAGUAAUCGCAGGUCAGCAUACUGCGGUGAAUACGUUCCCGGGCCUU